rnacentral:snRNA from 1 species
CGGAACAGUGAAUUCCAAA